rnacentral:rRNA from 1 species
CCUACGUGUGGCAGCAGUGAGGAAUAUUGGUCAAUGGACGAGAGUCUGAACCAGCCAAGUAGCGUGAAGGAUGACUGCCCUAUGGGUUGUAAACUUCUUUUAUAUGGGAAUAAAAUGUUCCUCGCGAGGGAUUUUGUAUGUACCAUAUGAAUAAGGAUCGGCUCACUCAGUGCCAGCAGCCGCGGUAAUACGGAGGAUCCGAGCGUUAUCCGGAUUUAGUGGGUUUAAAGGGAGCGUAGGUGGAUUGUUAAGUCAGUUGUGAAAGUUUGCGGCUCAACCGUAAAAUUGCAGUUGAAACUGGCAGUCGUGAGUGCAGUAGAGGUGGGCGGAAUGCGGGGUGUAGCGGUGAAAUGCUUAGAUAUCACGAAGAACUCCGAUUGCGAAGGCAGCUCACUGGACUGCAACUGACACUGAGGCUCGAAAGUGUGGGUAUCAAACAGGAUUAGUUACCCUUGUAGUC